GUAGUCUCGCACAGAUGCAUAUCAAUAAGCGGAGGAAAAGAAACUAACAAGGAUUCCCUCAGUAACGGCGAGUGAAGCGGGAAGAGCUCAAAUUUGAAAUCUUGAAAGGUCACCUUUCACGAAUUGUAGUUUAAAGAAGUGUUUUCUGUUACGAUCGUAAUAUAAGUUCUUUGGAAUAGGACAUCACAGAGGGUGAGAAUCCCGUCUAUGAUUGCGAUUUGUAGCUUUGUGAUACACUUUCAAAGAGUCGGGUUGUUUGGGAAUGCAGCCCAAAACGGGAGGUAAAUUUCUUCUAAGGCUAAAUAUUGGCGAGAGACCGAUAGCGAACAAGUACCGUGAGGGAAAGAUGAAAAGAACUUUGAAAAGAGAGUUAAAUAGUACGUGAAAUUGUCAAAAGGGAAGCGUUUAACACCAGUGUUGUUUUCUGAAAAUCAACCUCUGUUAGCUUUAUGCAUGUUUGUUUAGACCUAAUCAGCUAUCUUGCAUGUUCUAUUGUUUGCAGUGGUGCACUUUUCAGUUUACAGGUCAACAUCAGUUUUUUUUACCGUAAAAAAGUUAAAGAAAGGUAGCUCAUGGCUCCGGUCGUGAGUGUUAUAGUCUUUUUCCUAUAGCGGUAGGAGAGACUGAGGUCUGCAGUGUAGGCUAUUUGGCUAGAUACUCAGGUGCUAUGUGAUACCAUUUCAUAAACAACUUGUUGAUUAUGUUUUGUCUAUUGCAUACUCGCUUGUACUAUCAUACCUACGCUUAGGAUGUUGAGUCGUAGAGCACGCAG
rnacentral:rRNA from 1 species